GACGAACGCUGGCGGCGUGCCUAAUACAUGCAAGUCGAGCGGACCAAUAGAAGCUUGCUUCUAUUGGUUAGCGGCGGACGGGUGAGUAACACGUGGGCAACCUGCCUGUAAGACUGGGAUAACUUCGGGAAACCGGAGCUAAUACCGGAUAAUUCAUCCCCUCGCAUGAGGGGGUGCUGAACGUCGGUUCACGCUGACACUUACAGAUGGGCCUGCGGCGCAUUAGCUAGUUGGUGAGGUAAUGGCUCAACAAGGCGACGAUGCGUAGCCGACCUGAGAGGGUGAUCGGCCACACUGGGACUGAGACACGGCCCAGACUCCUACGGGAGGCAGCAGUAGGGAAUCUUCCACAAUGGACGAAAGUCUGAUGGAGCAACGCUGCGUGAGCGAUGAAGGCCUUCGGGUCGUAAAGCUCUGUUGUUAGGGAAGAACAAGUACCGGAGUAACUGCCGGUACCUUGACGGUACCUAACCAGAAAGCCACGGCUAACUACGUGCCAGCAGCCGCCGUAA
rnacentral:rRNA from 1 species